rnacentral:piRNA from 1 species
UCUUAGCCUGGUGUGGUAGGAAACCCAUACU